ACGUAGGGGGCCAGCGUUGCUCGGAAUUACUGGGCGUAAGGGGUUCGUAGGCGGUGCGGCAAGUCGGAAGUGAAAUCUCUGGGCUUAACUCAGGGGCUGCUCCCGAAACUGCCGUGCUUGAGUGCGGGAGAGGCGAGUGGAAUUGCAGGUGUAGCGGUGAAAUGCGUAGAUAUCUGCAGGAACACCCGUGGCGAAGGCGGCUCGCUGGACCGCAACUGACGCUGAGGAACGAAAGCUAGGGGAGCAAACAGGA
rnacentral:rRNA from 1 species